GACGAACGCUGGCGGCGUGCCUAAUACAUGCAAGUCGAGCGAAUGGAUUAAGAGCUUGCUCUUAUGAAGUUAGCGGCGGACGGGUGAGUAACACGUGGGUAACCUGCCCAUAAGACUGGGAUAACUCCGGGAAACCGGGGCUAAUACCGGAUAACAUUUUGAACCGCAUGGUUCGAAAUUGAAAGGCGGCUUCGGCUGUCACUUAUGGAUGGACCCGCGUCGCAUUAGCUAGUUGGUGAGGUAACGGCUCACCAAGGCAACGAUGCGUAGCCGGCCUGGGAGGGUGAUCGGCCACACUGGGACUGCGACACGGCCCAGACUCCUACGGGAGGCAGCAGUAGGGAAUCUUCCGCAAUGGGCGAAAGUCUGACGGAGCAACGCCGCGUGAGUGAUGAAGGCUUUCGGGUCGUAAAACUCUGUUGUUAGGGAAGAACAAGUGCUAGUUGAAUAAGCUGGCACCUUGACGGUACCUAACCAGAAAGCCACGGCUAACUACGUGCCAGCCGCCGCAGUAA
rnacentral:rRNA from 1 species